rnacentral:lncRNA from 1 species
UGAGUUAUUUGCGUUUGAAAUGUACACAUUGUUUACUACAGGAGACGUAGUGUGAGUGAAGCUAGAAUCACUGACACUGUGGGCAUCACACUUGGGUGUAGAGAAUGCACACCAAGUUCUCAACCACCAUGGAUGAGAAACCUUGGCCUUGAGUGGUGGCUGAGAACUCGGGAACACUGCAUUGCAGGCAGGUUACUUCCAACCACAGGACCACAUAGACUAAGGUACAGUGUGCCAAAAUGUGUCAGUCUGUUAACUGUCUUACCCUGCUUCCAUGCAUCUUUCCUUUUCUGCUAGGUUUUGGGGCCAGCAUCAUUCUCUUCCCCAACCGGGCACUUCUGCCCCUAGGAAAGGCAUGAGGGAUACUGACAGGCAAGGAGGAAGGACAGAGUUAAUCACCAGGGGCCUCAGAACACGUACACAGCUGGCCUUCCCCAUGCUAAGGUUUUGCCAUAGUAUUUCCCUUUUCCUUCAUUUUGAAAACCUCUCUGGAGGUGGUGGUACUUACCACCUCCUUCUCUUCUAUGGGCUAAAAGAUAAUCCACAAGAUGUAAGAAAUGGAAGGCUUAAAUUAAGUACAGUAACAAACUGAAUUUUUUUCAUUAGGGAUAUUCAACUGUGCUUCGAACCCUGACAUCAGGCUCAGCUACUUUUGCCUUGGAGCUGUCUACUUAUCAAGCCAUGAGUCCACAAGACCAAAGGACUCUGCUCAGCCAGAGAAGUGGUUUGGCCCGUAUGCUGUAGGCCCUUGGAAACGGGGAAAGCUGGGCACUUGCCAGCUUCAUUCUCAGUGAGAAUGCUGUUCUAUUAACUGGCUGGUAAACUGCUGCUUCGCCCUGUGGAAAGAACUUGAACAAGACAUGGAAGAAUGGCAUUGGAGCUGCCAUCCUAAGACUGUUGAACCUGCUCUGCUGUAACGCACCACGGCUGGGCCCUGGUUGUCUCUCACCUCUCUGGUGCGGUGAUAAAAUAACCCAGUCAGGGCAGCUUAUAAAAGGGUUUCUUUUCUC